GUAGGGAAUAUUGGACAAUGGGCGAAAGCCUGAUCCAGCCAUGCCGCGUGAUAGAUGAAGGCCCUCUGGGUUGUAAAUAUCUUUUAUCUGGGAAGAAACUCCUCUAUUCUUAGAGGCCUGACGGUACCAGAGGAAUAAGCACCGGCUAACUCCGUGCCAGCAGCCGCGGUAAUACGGAGGGUGCAAGCGUUAUCAGGAUUCACUGGGUUUAAAGGGUGCGUAGGCGGGUUGAUAAGUCAGUGGUGAAAGCUCCGGGCUUAACUUGGAAACUGCCAUUGAUACUGUCAGUCUUGAAUGUCGUAGAGGUAAGCGGAAUGUUGCAUGUAGCGGUGAAAUGCUUAGAUAUGUGACAGAACACCAAUUGCGAAGGCAGCUUACUAUGCGAUAAUUGACGCUGAGGCACGAAAGCGUGGGGAGCAAACAGGAUUAGAUACCCCGGUAGUCC
rnacentral:rRNA from 1 species